rnacentral:rRNA from 1 species
CAGCCGCCGCGGUAAUACGAGGGGGGCAAGCGUUGUUCGGAUUUACUGGGCGUAAAGCGCACGUAGGCGGACUUUUAAGUCAGGGGUGAAAUCCCGGGGCUCAACCCCGGAACUGCCUUUGAUACUGGAAGUCUUGAGUAUGGUAGAGGUGAGUGGAAUUCCGAGUGUAGAGGUGAAAUUCGUAGAUAUUCGGAGGAACACCAGUGGCGAAGGCGGCUCACUGGACCAUUACUGACGCUGAGGUGCGAAAGCGUGGGGAGCGAACAGGAUUAGAUACCCCUGUAGUCCCUGUCUCUUAUAC